rnacentral:rRNA from 1 species
UACGUAGGGGGCAAGCGUUGUCCGGAAUCAUUGGGCGUAAAGAGCGCGCAGGCGGUCGAUCAAGUCGCGUGUGAAAGCCCCCGGCUCAACUGGGGAGGGUCACGCGAUACUGAUCGACUCGAAGGCAGGAGAGGGUAGUGGAAUUCCCGGUGUAGUGGUGAAAUGCGUAGAUAUCUGGAGGAACACCGGUGGCGAAGGCGGCAUCCUGGACCAACACUGACGCUGAGGAGCGAAAGCCAGGGGAGCAAACAGG